rnacentral:rRNA from 1 species
UACGUAGGGUGCAAGCGUUGUCCGGAAUUAUUGGGCGUAAAGAGCUCGUAGGCGGUCUGUCGCGUCUGCUGUGAAAACUCAGGGCUUAACCCUGGACCUGCAGUGGGUACGGGCAGACUAGAGUGUGGUAGGGGAGACUGGAAUUCCUGGUGUAGCGGUGAAAUGCGCAGAUAUCAGGAGGAACACCGAUGGCGAAGGCAGGUCUCUGGGCCACUACUGACGCUGAGAAGCGAAAGCAUGGGGAGCGAACAGG